CUGAAAGGAUGAAAAAGUCAACAGAAAACAAAUUCUUCUUCUAUUGCUACAAAGGACAGGACUUAUGAACUAAGUCUUGUCAGCGGUGAAGAUUUGUGCUUAGGUCCAAACACUGUUUCACUUUGGGUUUGCCAGAGUAACUGCAUAGGAGAGUUGAUUAAAAUCAACUCCCAAAAAUGAUAAUGUGUCAAAGAAGAUAUCUUGAUAUUUUCCCUUUCAUCAAUUUCAAUUGUAUUUCUUUCACAGGUAUGUGUAUUUUAAGUAAAAAUCAUCAAAAACAGAUUGAAGCAAUAACUUGGGAUAGAGUAAAGUUCUUUAUAAAUAAUAUUAUUUGUAAAAUUUCGAUAACUUAGCCUAUUUUUUACUGAACAAAGGCAAUUGUUAAAGUCUCCAAAAAAUAAAAUAGCUUUAACAGUUGGAUGGUAAAUACAUGCAAACUUUUUGGGGGGCAGGAGUUGAUAUUGCUAAAUAUGUCAAGUUUUCUAUAUUAUAGUUGAUAUCCUUCUCUCUCUCUCUCUCUCUCUCUCUCUCUCUCUCUCUCUCUCUCUCUCUCUCUCAAUGUCAUGAACAUGAACAAAAGUUGUCAUUAAAAAAUUCUGAUGAAAAUGAAUUACACAAAAUUAUUUUACAUUUUCCUGAAACUGUGUUUGCAUGUUUGAGGACUUUCUGUGAUGGUUUGGGGCUAACAAUGUUUUCUACCUUCUACAUACCGGGCCGGUACAUGUACAUGCUAACCUACAGUGGUGAAAAAGAGCAUUGAUGCAGAGGGUGUCAGUAACAGCAUUUGUCAUUUUGUGAAUGAUGCAGACAAAACAGCCAAUUCA